rnacentral:misc_RNA from 1 species
UUUGUGUUGAUUGAUGUUAGGUGAUAUUGUAUUUGAGAGGUUGGUGUAAUUUUUGGUGGAAACGGAAAAGUUGUUUUGAGUAGUUGAAUUUUACGAGAGCAUAUCACAUUUGGGAAAUAUGAGGGGAAAAAAAUUUUAGGUGACUUGCAUGCUUAAACUUGGCAGAAAAGAAUGUGGUGCCAGAAGUCUCUGAUUCUACGUGAGACUGGCUGAGAGUGUAUUGUAGCGCUUGAUUAUUUGAUGUACGUUUGUGGCUGUAGGGAUCUUAGAUUUGGGGUUUUGUUUAAAA